AGGCUGCAUCCUGGGCCCUCUUUCCUUAGGGCGGGCUCUGUUGUGACCUUCCCUGUGACCUGGGCAUUUCCCAGUUUCUGCCCCUGGAAAUCAGAGCCAGGGAUCUGGGCUGGGGAAUUUUAGGGGCUACUAAGUGGUAGAACUGGGACUUGAGCUUCUGAGCUGGGGUGCUUCAGAUGCAAGGAGAAAGAACAGGCCUCAAGCCCGCAGUUCACAUGGCCCCUCCCCAUGUGAAUUUUCAUGGUGCUGUUUAUAUGCUAGCAGAAGCUGGGCAAAGUGAGUGUUCAGGUGGCCCUGAUCCACAACCAACCAGUAUGGGGUGCCACCCAAGAGGACACAUUAGCAUAUCAAUGGGCAGUCCUCUGAGAGUGCCUCAUGCCAGGGUGCUACCAGCAGAUCCUCCUCUGCUCAGACUCAGGGUGGAACCUCCAGGACCUAGAGUCCUGCCCUGAACCAGGCCACGGCUUAUGGGGGCCCCCCCUAAAGCCACAGGGUGGGGAGGCUCAGCCUAGGUGCAGGACCCAUUAGCAGUGGCUAAAUCAGUCUGCUUGGGUGGCCAUGGGUGGGAUGGAAUGGAGGGAUGGUGAAGGCAAGGGCCUCUGCUGAGCCCC
rnacentral:lncRNA from 1 species